rnacentral:rRNA from 1 species
ACGAACGCUGGCGGCGUGCUUAACACAUGCAAGUCGCACGGAAAGGCCCUGCUUGCAGGGUACUCGAGUGGCGAACGGGUGAGUAACACGUGGGUGAUCUGCCCUGCACUUCGGGAUAAGCCUGGGAAACUGGGUCUAAUACCGGAUAGGAGCCAUUUUUAGUGUGAUGGUUGGAAAGUUUUUUCGGUGUAGGAUGAGCUCGCGGCCUAUCAGCUUGUUGGUGGGGUAAUGGCCUACCAAGGCGGCGACGGGUAGCCGGCCUGAGAGGGUGGACGGCCACAUUGGGACUGAGAUACGGCCCAGACUCCUACGGGAGGCAGCAGUGGGGAAUAUUGCACAAUGGGCGCAAGCCUGAUGCAGCGACGCCGCGUGGGGGAUGACGGCCUUCGGGUUGUAAACCGCUUUCAGCAGGGGCGAAGCUUGUGGUGACGGUACCUGCAGAAGAAGCACCGGCUAACUACGUG